ACUGAAUUGAAUCUCAGUAACCCACUCCUUCCCACUCUUAGCCUCUCCUGAGUAUGUGUUGGGACCUGCAGUGUGCCAGGCCCCUGAUAGAGCAGAGGUCCUGGGGAUCCAGCCGAGAACAGGACAGACACAGCACCUUUCCUCUUGGCACAGGCAGCUCGACGGGGAGACAGCCAGCAGUAAUCCCACAGACGGCCAGCCAUCUACGAGUGAUUGUUAACAUGAGCCAGGAAACACACAGGAUUGUGCAAAGGUAACCAUUACGGUGGAUCUGCCGUGUGUCCUUCUAGUCCUUCAGCCUUUACUUGUACCACUUGCAUAGACAUCCAGAAACAGAGGACCCACGUUGGCUUCCCUGGGCACACCAGUCUUCCUGUGGCGGCCUGGACAGCAACUUUUUCACUCUGAUUCUGAAAGAACACAGCAAAGCUCCCUGGCUGCCAAUCAUUUGCGCUACUGGAAGCUGAGAAGAAAAUGCUCAUCAAGAAAAAAAUAGGGCAAGAGGAAAGAGUUUACUUCUGCUCCGCCAUCCUUCUAUCUAUCCACGAAACAACUAAUUUUACCAGUAUUGACAUCGCUGUCCACUCAGUGGGCAUUUAUAUCAUACAAAGCACAUGGCAUUUUUGUCUGUAAACAGUAGCCUUUGUGAAAUUUACAACUACGCUGACGGAAACCCCGUGUGAGCCUAUACCCAUUUCACAAAUGAAUAAACAAGGUUCCAAAGAUUAGGCGACAAAUCAGGGCUCCUAGAUUUGGGGAUUUCACAUAUCAGUAAAAAAAAAAAAUGUAAUAGUGAGACAGGCAGAUUUAUUUUGUCCAUUGACAUUUUUAAAUACCACCUACUAUCACCAUUAUUUAAAAACAAAAGAAAAAGGAUACCUUAACAACAACAACAAAAAGAAAAUAAAGACCCUUAUCUCAAAAUAAAGUCCUUAAAAUUGAAUAA
rnacentral:lncRNA from 1 species